rnacentral:misc_RNA from 1 species
UAUGCAAUGAGAAAUGUUAGUUCAUUGCUUCUAAUGAUAUUGUUUGAAGGGCUUGUUUAUUAUUGGCCUGAAACAAGUUUUUGCCAAAGAGGGUAUGAAGGGCAUGUGCUAUUUGGGUCAUCUUUUAUGGUCUCAAUGGCAAGGUUGCAACAAAGAGUGGCAAAUGAGAUGGACCAAAUUGGUGGACAACCAGGAAUCCUGCUUUAUGAGUUUAGACAAGCAAAAAUUGCCAUGGAAGAGCUAAAAGUUGAUUUAGAAAGUAUUAUGGAGUAUGAAUCAGAACUUGAGAUCCAAGACAAAGUUGACAACUUGAAGAAUUGCUUUGGGUUGUUGAGAUGUGGGGUUGAGACUAUAAUUGGGCAGCUUGAUGAUUUCUUUGAUGAAAUAGUUGAAGGAAGGAAGAAGCUUUUGGACAUGUGCACUCACAGGUAGAGAAAGAGAAGAGAAAGGAGAAUUGCACAUGAACAACCAUAGCUAGGUAGCUAGAGGGAGAGCUAGCAAAAAAAGGUGAAAAGAACUAAAAAAUUUCUGUUGCUGAUACUGUUAUCGUUCCUAAAACUCACUAAUUAUCAGAGAAUCAGAGUUCAACUUCAAUACCAUCAAAUAAUUUAUCAUAUAUGGCAUUAGUGCUCCUCUUUUUUUCUCAUUUUUUAACCUUUUUUACAAGUUUCCGUUUCCUUUUCCUGUUGAAGGCACUUUGUUUUGCAGCUAGAAUAUAGUUUUGAGACAGAUGGGGGCUUUUCUGCGGAAACCCAG